rnacentral:rRNA from 1 species
CCUACGGGUGGCAACAGUGAGGAAUAUUGGUCAAUGGGCGCGAGCCUGAACCAGCCAAGUCGCGUGAAGGAUGACUGUCCUACGGGUUGUAAACUUCUUUUAUAAAGGAAUAAAGUGAGGCACGUGUGCCUUUUUGUAUGUACUUUAUGAAUAAGGAUCGGCUAACUCCGUGCCAGCAGCCGCGGUAAUACGGAGGAUCCGAGCGUUAUCCGGAUUUAUUGGGUUUAAAGGGUGCGUAGAUGGGUUGUUAAGUCAGUUGUGAAAGUUUGCGGCUCAACCGUCAAAUUGCAGUUGAUACUGGCAGCCUUGAGUACAGUUGAGGUAGGCGGAAUGCGUGGUGUAGCGGUGAAAUGCUUAGAUAUCACGAAGAACUCCGAUUGCGAAGGCAGCUUACUAAACUGCCACUGACAUUGAUGCUCGAAAGUGUGGGUAUCAAACAGGAUUAGAUACCCUAGUAGUC